rnacentral:tRNA from 1 species
GUGUUUAUAGUUCAACGGUUAGAAUAACUGAUUGUGGUUCAGUAGAUGUGGUUUCGACUACCACUAAACACCC